rnacentral:rRNA from 1 species
UACGAAGGGGGCUAGCGUUGCUCGGAAUUACUGGGCGUAAAGGGAGCGUAGGCGGACAGUUUAGUCAGAGGUGAAAGCCCAGGGCUCAACCUUGGAAUUGCCUUUGAUACUGACUGUCUUGAGUAUGGGAGAGGUUAGCGGAACUCCGAGUGUAGAGGUGAAAUUCGUAGAUAUUCGGAAGAACACCAGUGGCGAAGGCGGCUAACUGGCCCAUUACUGACGCUGAGGCUCG